AAAAAGACGUUGAUAAGGACAAUUAGGUUAUCUGGACGUUUCAGAGAGUAAGCAACUUGGCUGUAAUUGCUUAUACUUACGAUAACUGAAAACCACCUUUGAGUUAAAAUCAGAAGAGCAUGAAAGGGUAACAUUACGUACACUUUAGUGAUAGUAUGAUUUUCGGUGCUGGCCGUUAUUCAGAACUUAAGUGGAUUUAUGUAAAUAAAUCAAAUUGGGUGGAACCGCGUUAAUACGUCCCUUUG
rnacentral:ncRNA from 1 species